rnacentral:rRNA from 1 species
UACGUAGGGUCCGAGCGUUAAUCGGAAUUACUGGGCGUAAAGCGUGCGCAGGCGGUUUUGUAAGACAGAUGUGAAAUCCCCGGGCUCAACCUGGGAAUUGCAUUUGUGACUGCAAGGCUAGAGUGUGUCAGAGGGGGGUAGAAUUCCACGUGUAGCAGUGAAAUGCGUAGAGAUGUGGAGGAAUACCGAUGGCGAAGGCAGCCCCCUGGGAUAACACUGACGCUCAUGCACGAAAGCGUGGGGAGCAAAC